rnacentral:rRNA from 1 species
UACGGAGGGAGCUAGCGUUGUUCGGAAUUACUGGGCGUAAAGCGCACGUAGGCGGCUUUGUAAGUUAGAGGUGAAAGCCUGGGGCUCAACUCCAGAAUUGCCUUUAAGACUGCAUCGCUAGAAUUGUGGAGAGGUAAGUGGAAUUCCGAGUGUAGAGGUGAAAUUCGUAGAUAUUCGGAAGAACACCAGUGGCGAAGGCGACUUACUGGACACAUAUUGACGCUGAGGUGCGAAAGCGUGGGGAGCAAACAGG